rnacentral:lncRNA from 1 species
UUUUUCUGGAACCAGCUAUUCCCCAUCUCUUUAUUUACAUCCCUUAAUAUGCAUUACUAAAUCCCAGAAUAGGCAGGCAGUUUGGAAGUGCUGCCCUUAGUGAAGAACCAAAGUUCUGAAAAAGCAGUUUCAUAUUAAAAAAAAAAAAUAAAAAUUAAAUUUAAAAACAAACAAACCAAAACCAAACCUCCAAAAACCCCAAAACCAAAAGGCUCAUUCCACCCUCUUUUCCCAAAGAACUGUUAUGAACUGUCCCGAAUUUCCCCUUCUUCCAUAGAUGAAAGGGAGGAACUUUCACUGUCCGAGUUCUGUGCAGGUUCACUGGCAUCUGAGGGAGUAAGACACAAACAAAAAACAAAGCAGCAAUUAGUUUCAGCAGUGCUGUUUGCUCAUCAAACAGAAGCAGUUUUGAAUCUUCUUUUGUAUCUUCUUUUCCUUUACUCAAGACUUUCCUUGAGGACAGCUGUUUCACAAGACAUAACCAGUCUCAUAACAUGGGAUAACGCCCUGGGUAGAACCUCACAGUUGAAGGAGAAAGAAAGACAAUGUUGAGAAUUUCUUUCAGUUUUUAAAUCUUGGUCUUUCAGUUAAGGAGAUAAGCAGAAUAUUUAUCCCACACAAAACUCUUCUUCAUCCACCGAGAAUUUCCUUUUUUUCCCUCUUUGUUUACUUGUUUUAAAUGUUGUUUUCUGGGUUGCUACACAACUCUCGUGAACUAUAAAUCAUUUACACUUUUAUUAGCAUUUCAGUUAAGAUGGGGAACUACUGAGAAAUUCUAAAUGCAAAGGGAAAACUGGGAUGAUAUGUGCUCCUUCCAUGUGUUCCAGCAUCCCAAAGAUGGUAUUAGGCUGUGUGAAUCCAUGAGCUAAGGCUGAUGAGGUUAAGGCUGCACAGUAACUUGUGCUUUAGGACACGGCUGUGGUGCUCUGCUGAGAUCAUAAUGUGAAGCACUCAUUUCCCAAACUGGUUUUCAGCCUCACACCCUGAGACUCCUUCUUUAACAAGCACUGACCCCAGUCACCUUGUGGUGAGGUCACCAGAUACCGCUGGUUGGUGGCACUCGAGCAGCACAAAAAUAAACUGCAGCAAAGCAGGCCCAUGAUUCACGCUCUGCUCUCACUGUUAUUUUCAGUAUUUGAUCUGAGUAUGAAUUUAAAGAAGUUUUUUAGCAUUUGUGUCAGAUGCUUCAUUAAGAAAACUUUACCAAAAGGGAGCUGACGAAGUAGUUACUGUCACGUCAAGAUAAGUUCUAAAGCUGGCAAACAGUGAUAAUACGUAG